rnacentral:rRNA from 1 species
UGGGGAAUAUUGCGCAAUGGGGGCAACCCUGACGCAGCAAUACCGCGUGAGUGAAGAAGGUUUUCGGAUCGUAAAGCUCUGUUAUUGGGGAAGAAAAAAAGACGGUACCCAAGAAGAAAGUCCCGGCUAACUACGUGCCAGCAGCCGCGGUAAUACGUAGGGGACAAGCGUUGUCCGGAUUUACUGGGCGUAAAGGGCACGCAGGCGGUUUUUUAAGUCAGAUGUGAAAGGUACCGGCUCAACCGGUGACAUGCAUUUGAAACUGAAAGACUUGAGUAUUGGAGAGGCAAGUGGAAUUCCUAGUGUAGCGGUGAAAUGCGUAGAUAUUAGGAGGAACACCGGUGGCGAAGGCGGCUUGCUGGACAAAUACUGACGCUGAGGUGCGAAAGCGUGGGGAGCAAACAG